CGUAGGUGGCAAGCGUUGUCCGGAAUUAUUGGGCGUAAAGCGCGCGCAGGUGGUCCUUUAAGUCUGAUGUGAAAGCCCACGGCUCAACCGUGGAAGGUCAUUGGAAACUGGGGGACUUGAGUGCAGAAGAGGAAAGUGGAAUUCCAAGUGUAGCGGUGAAAUGCGUAGAGAUUUGGAGGAACACCAGUGGCGAAGGCGACUUUCUGGUCUGUAACUGACACUGAGGCGCGAAAGCGUGGGGAGCAAACAGGAUUAGAUACCCUGGUAGUCCACGCCGUAAACGAUGAGUGCUAAGUGUUAGGGGGUUUCCGCCCCUUAGUGCUGCAGCUAACGCAUUAAGCACUCCGCCGUGGGGAGUACGGUCGCAAGACUG
rnacentral:rRNA from 1 species